rnacentral:rRNA from 1 species
GCCUCCCUCGGACGCAGCAGUGAGGAAUAUUGGUCAAUGGUCGGGAGACUGAACCAGCCAAGCCGCGUGAGGGAUGAAGGUACAGAGUAUCGUAAACCUCUUUUGUCAGGGAACAAAGGCGGGGACGUGUCCCCGGAUGAGUGUACCUGAAGAAAAAGCAUCGGCUAACUCCGUGCCAGCAGCCGCGGUAAUACGGAGGAUGCGAGCGUUAUCCGGAUUUAUUGGGUUUAAAGGGUGCGCAGGCGGUCUGUUAAGUCAGCGGUCAAAGCCCGGGGCUCAACCCCGGCCCGCC